UACGGAGGGUGCGAGCGUUGUCCGGAAUCACUGGGCGUAAAGGGCUCGUAGGCGGCUCAGUAAGUCGGGUGUGAAACCUCCAGGCUCAACCUGGAGACGCCACUCGAUACUGCUGUGGCUAGAGUCCGGUAGGGGAGCAUGGAAUUCCUGGUGUAGCGGUGAAAUGCGCAGAUAUCAGGAGGAACACCAGUGGCGAAGGCGGUGCUCUGGGCCGGAACUGACGCUGAUGAGCGAAAGCGUGGGGAGCAAACAGG
rnacentral:rRNA from 1 species